rnacentral:rRNA from 1 species
UACGGAGGGUGCGAGCGUUGUCCGGAAUCACUGGGCGUAAAGGGCGCGUAGGCGGCCUGAUAAGUAGGGGGUGAAAUCCUGAGGCUUAACCUCAGGGCUGCCUUCUAAACUGUCAGGCUCGAGCACAGUAGAGGCAGGUGGAAUUCCGGGUGUAGCGGUGGAAUGCGUAGAGAUCCGGAAGAACACCGGUGGCGAAGGCGGCCUGCUGGGCAGUAGCUGACGCUGAGGCGCGACAGCGUGGGGAGCAAACAGG